rnacentral:rRNA from 1 species
GAUGAACGCUGGCGGCGUGCCUAACACAUGCAAGUCGAACGGAAAGACAGUAAGAUUUUGCUCUUAACGUUGGCGAGUGGCGGGCGUGUGACGAGUACAUCGGACUCUUCUCUUUCGGGGAUGAUAACGUAAGGAAGGUUACUAUAAUACAGCAUAUCAUGUACCGUUGAGAGCAAUGGAUAUUCGCAGCUUUCGUGUCUGAAUUAGCUGAUGCCGCAUUAGCUUGUUGGGGGGGUAAAGGCCCACCAAGGCGACGAUCCGUAGCUGAACUGAGAGGAUGAUCGGCCACACUGGAACUGAGACACGGUCCAGACUCCUACGGGAGGCAGCAGUAGGGAAUAUUGGGCAAUGGGCGCAAGCCUGAUCCAGCCAUACCGCGUGGGUGAAGAAGGCCUUCGGGUUGUAAAGCCCUGUUGUUGGGAAAGAACAGCUGUAGGUUAAUACCCCGCUGUUCUGACGGUACCCAAUAAAGAAGCACCGGCUAACUACGUG